UUCUAACACAAAAAAAGUCAGUGCAUACUGGGAGACACUUUCUGUGUGACAAACUUAAAGAGAUUAACAGCAAUCAUCAGAAAACAUAUCUAGCAAUUUCAAAAGAUCAAUACUGCAGAUCACACUGAGGUAAAACCAAGCACAGAAAUACAGUAAUAUUGCUACUGAAGAGCCAUUAUCACUGACAAGAGAUGAGGACUCUGACAUUAUGGGUUCUUGUAAUUCUCUACCUGACUUUGUUAUCAGCUGCUAACUGUUUGCCCCUGGGGUUCAUAGUACCUUAUGUGGAAGCAGCAUCCGGUCUCAGCUGAGCUCACAGUCAUCAAGGUAUCCAUGGUAACACCGGGAUAACGCACAUCCUUAGACAGCGAUGCUGAGCAGUAUAAUUUGAUGUACUUCUCCGGCUACUCCCUCUUUAUGAUAUCAUAAUAAAGUCUUUCUAAUUGA